rnacentral:misc_RNA from 1 species
GAUGAAGAACGUAGCGAAAUGCGAUAAGUAGUGUGAAUUGCAGAAUUCAGUGAAUCAUCGGAUCUUUGAACGCACAUUGCGCCCCUUGGUAUCCCGAGGGGCAUGCCUGUUCGAGCGUCAUUUCACCACUCAAGCCUGGCUUGGUGUUGGGCGACGUCCCCUUUGGGGACGCGCCUCGAAACGCUCGGCGGCGUGGCACCGGCUUUAAGCGUAGCAGAAUCUUUCGCUUUGGAAGUCGGGGCCCCGUCUGCCGGAAGACCUACUCGCAAGGUUGACCUCGGAUCAGGCAGGGAUACCCGCUGAACUUAAGCAUAUCAAUAAGCGGAGGA